CGGGUGCACUGAUCCAGCCGGGCCUUUCCCUCUGUGGAACCCCAUGGCCUUCACUGGCUGUGGUGGGGAAACAGGACUUUUACUUUGAAAAAUUAGAGUGCUCCAGCAGGCCUAUGCUCGAUACAUUAGCAUGGAUAUAGAUAGACGUGUGGUUCUAUUUUGUGGUUUCUAGGACCGCCGUAAUGAUAUAGGGACAGUCGGGGGCAUCAGUAUUCAAAUGUCAGAGGUGAAAUUCUUGGAUCUAUUGAAGACUAACUACUGCGAAAGCAUUUGCCAAGGAUGUUUUCAUUGAUAAGGAACGAAAGUUAGGGGAUCGAAGACGAUCAGAUACCGUCGUAGUCUUAACUAUAAACUAUGCCGACUAGGGAUCGGACGAUGUUAUUCUUUGACGCGUUCGGCACCUUUCGAGAAAUCAAAGUGCUUGGGCUCCAGGGGGAGUAUGGUCGCAAGGCUGAAACUUAAAGAAAUUGACGGAAGGGCACCACCAGGGGUGGAACCUGCGGCUUAAUUUGACUCAACACGGGGAAACUCACCAGGUCCAGACACAGUGAGGAUUGACAGAUUGAGAGCUCUUUCUUGAUUCUGUGGGUGGUGGUGCAUGGCCGUUCUUAGUUGGUGGAGUGAUUUGUCUGCUUAAUUGCGAUAACGAACGAGACCUUAACCUGCUAAAUAGCCCGUACUGCUUUGGCAGUUCGCCGGCUUCUUAGAGGGACUAUCGG
rnacentral:rRNA from 1 species